rnacentral:misc_RNA from 1 species
GAAACAUCAGGGAAAGGGAUCUUGACGCUCGCGU